rnacentral:rRNA from 1 species
UACGAAGGGGGCUAGCGUUGCUCGGAAUGACUGGGCGUAAAGGGUGCGCAGGCGGCCGUGUGUGUGAGGCGUGAAAGCCCGGGGCUUAACCCCGGAAUUGCACCUCAAACUACACGGCUAGAGCAUUGGAGAGGGUAGCGGAAUUCACGGUGUAGCAGUGAAAUGCGUAGAUAUCGUGGAGGAACACCAGAGGCGAAGGCGGUUCUCUGGGCAUUACCUGACGCUGAGGAGCGAAAGCAUGGGGGAGCGAACAGG